rnacentral:rRNA from 1 species
AUGCCCAAAGGAUCCUUGGACAGAUGGAUUUAUUGUCGACAUGACAAUGAUGCCCCUCUUUUAGAUUGGAGCACGCGGUGCAAAAUUAUAACUCACAUAGCUAAGGGCCUCUCUUAUCUUCAUGAGGAGUGCACAACAAGAAUUGCUCAUUUGGAUGUCAAACCACAAAAUAUUCUCUUGGAUGACAACUUCGAUGCUAAACUUUCUGAUUUUGGACUAUGCAAGCUCAUCGACAGGGAUAUGAGCCAAGUGGUUACCAGAAUGAGAGGCACACCUGGAUAUUUAGCUCCAGAAUGGUUGACAUCACAGAUCACGGAAAAGGCGGAUAUCUACAGCUUUGGCAUCGUGGUGAUGGAAAUCAUCAGUGGAAGAAAGAACCUCGACACUUCCCUGUCAGAAGAGAGCGUCCAUCUCAUCACCCUAUUGGAGGAAAAGGUGAAGAAUGAUCAGUUGGUAGAUUUGAUUGACAAUAACAGUAACGACAUGCAAGCACACAAGCAAGAUGUAAUUCAGAUGAUGAUGCUUGCAAUGUGGUGCUUGCAGAUUGAUCGCAAAAAAAGGCCUAAAAUGUCGGAGGUGGUAAGAGUAUUGGAAGGUACCAUGAAAGCAGACCUCAACAUAGAACAUGAGUUUGUUGUAACAACUCCUGCAAAUUUUAGUAGCACAGGAAAAGUGAGCUCUUCAGCUCCACCUCUAGCCUCAGAUGUAUCAGGCCCCAGGUGA